rnacentral:rRNA from 1 species
AUUGAACGCUGGCGGCAGGCCUAACACAUGCAAGUCGAACGAGUGGCGGACGGGUGAGUAAUGUCUGGGAAACUGCCUGAUGGAGGGGGAUAACUACUGGAAACGGUAGCUAAUACCGCAUACCAUCGGAUGUGCCCAGAUGGGAUUAGCUAGUAGGUGGGGUAAAGGCUCACCUAGGCGACGAUCCCUAGCUGGUCUGAGAGGAUGACCAGCCACACUGGAACUGAGACACGGCCCAGACUCCUACGGGAGGCAGCAGUGGGGAAUAUUGCACAAUGGGCGCAAGCCUGAUGCAGCCAGGCCGCGUGUAUGAAGAAGGCCUUAGGGUUGUAAAGUACUUGCAGCGGGGAGGCGUUACCCGCAGAAGAAGCACCGGCUAACUCCGUGCCAGCAGCCGCGGUAAUUC